rnacentral:rRNA from 1 species
GCGAGCGAACCGGGAAGAGCUCAAAUUUAAAAUCUGGCGUCCUUCGGGCGUCCGAGUUGUAAUCUACAGAAGUGUUUUCCGUGCUGGACCGUGUCCAAGUCCCUUGGAACAGGGUAUCAAAGAGGGUGACAAUCCCGUACUUGACACGACGACCAGUGCUCUGUGAUACAUUUUCUACGAGUCGAGUUGUUUGGGAAUGCAGCUCAAAAUGGGUGGUAAAUUCCAUCUAAAGCUAAAUAUAGGCGAGAGACCGAUAGCGAACAAGUACCGUGAGGGAAAGAUGAAAAGCACUUUGGAAAGAGAGUUAAACAGUACGUGAAAUUGUUGAAAGGGAAACGAUUGAAGUCAGUCGUGUCUGUUGGUUUCAGCUGUCUCUGGCAGUGUAUUACCAGCAGACGGGUCAACAUCAGUUUUGGACGGUGGAAAAAGGUAGGGAGAACGUAGCACCUCCGGGUGUGUUAUAGCUCCCUAUUGCAUACACUGUCCGAGACUGAGGAAUGCAGCUCGCCUUUAUGGCCGGGGUUCGCCC